AUGUCCAGACUGGCUGUCUCCAUGGUUGUGGCGCCAAGGUCACCGCAUCUUACAUCCCGAUGCAUUUUCAAGAAGACAUUAUUUGAUGUUAGAUGGCCAUUAUGUUCGCUUCAUAUGGACAGAGGACUAAUGGUACUCUUCCAUGAAGAGAAGCAAGUGGAUCAGUAUGUAGUAGCAGCCGCCUCCCCUAGCUCCUCGUCCCCUUCACUCAGUCCAUCCCUCAUCAUCUCGGAUCCAGCGGAUCUGAGGCGUGCGGGUGCGGAGGCGAGUUUCUCCGGCGACGGCGGCGGCGGUCACCUGCAGGCAAAGGGCGGUGGCGGCACUCGAUUUGAUCUGCAGGAAAGAUAG
rnacentral:rRNA from 1 species